UUCCGGUUGAUCCUGCCGGACCCUACUGCUAUCGGGGGAGGACUAAAACAUGCAAGUCGUGCGCCUCCAAGCCAUGGUGGAGACGCGGCAUCCGGCUCAGUAACACGUGGCUAACCCACCCUUGAGACGGGGAAAACCCCGGGAAACUGGGGUUAAUCCCCGAUAAGAGAAGACACCUGGAAUGGGUCUCCUCUCAAAGGGCGCCUAGACCAUGCUUCUGGGCGUUGCUCAAGGACGGGGCCGCGGCCGAUCAGGUUGUUGGUGAGGUAACGGCUCACCAAGCCUAUAACCGGUACGGGCCGUGAGAGCGGGAGCCCGGAGAUGGGCACUGAGACAAGGGCCCAGGCCCUACGGGGCGCAGCAGUUGCGAAAACUCCGCAAUGCACGAAAGUGUGACGGGGCUACCCCGAGUGCCGUCCGCUGAGGGCGGCUUUUCCCCGGUGUAAGGAGCCGGGGGAAUAAGGAGAGGGCAAGACUGGUGUCAGCCGCCGCGGUAAUACCAGCUCUCCGAGUGGUAGGGGUGAUUAUUGGGCUUAAAGCGUCCGUAGCCGGCCUGGCAAGUCUUCCGUUAAAUCCAGCAACCUAAUUGUUGGGCUGCGGGGGAUACUGUUAGGCUAGGGGGCGGGAGAGGCCGACGGUAUUCUCGGGGUAGGGGUGAAAUCUUAUAAUCCCGAGAGGACCACCAGUGGCGAAAGGCUGUCGGCUAGCACGCGCCUGACGGUGAGGGACGAAAGCUGGGGGAGCGAACCGGAUUAGAUACCCGGGUAGUCCCUGCUGUAAACGAUGCGAGCUAGGUGUUGGGGCGGCUACGAGCCGCUUCAGUGCCGCAGCGAAGGCGUUAAGCUCGCCGCCUGGGGGAGUACGGCCGCAAGGCUGAAACUUAAAGGAAUUGGCGGGGGAGCACACAAGGCGUGAAGCUUGCGGUUCAAUUGAAGUCAACGCCGGGAA
rnacentral:rRNA from 1 species